rnacentral:rRNA from 1 species
AGAGUUUGAUCCUGGCUCAGAUUGAACGCUGGCGGCAUGCUUUACACAUGCAAGUCGAACGGUAACAGGCCGCAAGGUGCUGACGAGUGGCGAACGGGUGAGUAAUGCAUCGGAACGUGCCCAGUCGUGGGGGAUAACGCAGCGAAAGCUGCGCUAAUACCGCAUACGAUCUAUGGAUGAAAGCGGGGGACCGUAAGGCCUCGCGCGAUUGGAGCGGCCGAUGUCAGAUUAGGUAGUUGGUGGGGUAAAGGCUCACCAAGCCAACGAUCUGUAGCUGGUCUGAGAGGACGACCAGCCACACUGGAACUGAGACACGGUCCAGACUCCUACGGGAGGCAGCAGUGGGGAAUUUUGGACAAUGGGCGCAAGCCUGAUCCAGCAAUGCCGCGUGCAGGAAGAAGGCCUUCGGGUUGUAAACUGCUUUUGUACGGAACGAAACGGUCUGAGUUAAUACCUCGGGCUAAUGACGGUACCGUAAGAAUAAGCACCGGCUAACUACGUGCCAGCAGCCGCGGUAAUACGUAGGGUGCAAGCGUUAAUCGGAAUUACUGGGCGUAAAGCGUGCGCAGGCGGUGAUGUAAGACAGUCGUGAAAUCCCCGGGCUCAACCUGGGAAUUGCGAUUGUGAUUGCAUCGCUGGAGUGCGGCAGAGGGGGAUGGAAUUCCGCGUGUAGCAGUGAAAUGCGUAGAUAUGCGGAGGAACACCGAUGGCGAAGGCAAUCCCCUGGGCCUGCACUGACGCUCAUGCACGAAAGCGUGGGGAGCAAACAGGAUUAGAUACCCUGGUAGUCCACGCCCUAAACGAUGUCAACUGGUUGUUGGGUCUCUUCUGACUCA